rnacentral:lncRNA from 1 species
AUUCCUCUUGCCACCACUCCAGCCACGGCCUCGGCUUGAAUCCUUCCAUGUAGAUGAUUUCUCCAUGAGUGACCACCUUCAAAAGUUUGUUCUGUACAGGAGGAGAGGAUUCAUUCUCUGCCAUGAAGUAGCAAAGAACCUUCUAGUUCAUCAAUGGACAUUUAUCAAUCGCCGUGGGAUGGGAUUCUUUCAAUGAGGCAAACCAAAUAUACAAAUUUAGACUACAUGGACCGCUAAUCUUUUCGACUACGGAAACAUCUUCAAGUCUUCACCAUGAAUCCGGCAUCUUGUUUUCUAUUGUCAGCGUUUAGCAGCCAAAAAGAUUCAUAACAGAUUUGCCCCUCCUUAAUUUGGAGAAUCUCAAACUCUCCUACGAAGAGCUUGAAGUUGUGUUGUUCCGCUUUCACCCUUGCUAGCCGGAUACUUAUCUCAUAGAAUCCCAUAUCUGUUUUGAAAGAAUAGUCUCCAAAAAUGGCUGAUCAAUUGCUUGAAACAAAUUAGUUUUGCCUUGCGAUCCUUCAGCUCUUGGUCUUCAAAAUUUUCUGUAUGAUCGUCAGUCAACACAGCUAAGCUUGCAUUACACACAAUACCAGGAUCAACAACUGGCCCAAAAUCCUUCGAUCCAGGAAGUUCUCCAUUAAAUGCUCCAAUGGCUAUUUGCACAAAAUUGUUGUGUGUUGGUGGAUUUGCCAUCAAUUCUUGCCUUGCUUCAAGGAGUAAGAAGAGCUACUUCUUUUCUACCUAAUUAGGCCUAACCAAUUAUACAAGCAAAUUGUAGGGCAGUCUUAUUAUGCAACUUCAACUAGGCUAGAUAUCAUUGCAUGUUGUUUGUGAGUUUAAUUAGUAGGUAUAUGGAGAAUCCGACUCUAAGUCAUCUCUUGGUUGCAAAUAUGAUUUUCGUAUUUGAAAGGGGUACUACUUGAUCUUGGAAUCAUAUAAACGAGGCGAGCAAGCUUGUGGUUUUUAGUAGUGUUAUGCUGGAGAUCUAAUAUGAUAGAAAAAUAGUACAUCUGGAUUUGCGUUCAGAUUGAGUUCUGGGCUGUUCAUGGUUAAUAAAAAAAAAAACCAAUAGUGCAUAUCGACCCACCAAAGCUGAGGUUGUUGCUGCAGGCAUCCGGGUCAUGUCAAGCCAUUUGGGUGUGUGUUUGUGAGCGUUACUUGAGUACUGCACAAUCAUCAGCAAGGGGAAACUUUAGUUUAUUGUGACAAUGUUUCAUGCAAUAAAAGCUUUCAAGAAAUCAGGUUCUAAUGGAAGGAGCAAACCCAUUGAGUGCAGAUACCACUUCUUGCGUGAUCUUGUUAAGGGAUGAUAUAUUUAUAGACUUGGUGUUCUAUAAAGAGUGGAGAUCAGAUUGCAGGACAUAUUGGACUAGCCCCUCAAGCCUGUUAUGAUUCUGAAGCUUAGAAGACUGAUUGGAGUAAUGUUCAAAGACGGAUGUUGAAGCUUCAUGUAAUUGAUGUCCUAAUGUAAGGUUUCAUUUUUUUUUUCAUUGCAAAUUUAUAAAUUUAAUUAGGCCACAAUGUGGAUUAGUGGACCUACGUUUUUUUUUUUUGGUUAUUGGGCACAUUGGAGAAAGAUUUGGACUUAAUGUAAUUGAAGUUGGGCUAUAGUGAAUUUGGGUUUAAUAUUGGAUCCAAAAUUAGAAAUUAAUUUGGUGUAAACCAACAAAGCCUUAGAGCUCCUCCGUUGGGAUCCCUUACCGUUUGAAUUUCCCCCCAAGUACACUUAUCCCCACAUCUUCUUUCCCCAACAUCAUCAUCCCAGCAGCAAUCAUUAUGUUUUCGUUUCUUGUCUCUUUCUUUUUUUUAAUCACAGUCUUUCCUCUCUUGUCUAUACGACUCUCCUCUCUCCGUCUCUCUCCUCCCUACUCUCCCCUCUACCUCGCUCCGGUCCUCUCCUCCGACUUCCCCCUCUCCCGCCCCCCCCCGAGUUGCCCCCUCACUCGCGGGGCGCCUUCGGCAGAUUGUUCCCCUACUCUCUCUCUCUCUCUCCCCCCCCGAAAUCCUUCUCCUUCUCUCACGAAGUUCUGUCUCUUUCCCUCUGUGUGUCUGAGCCAUAAAGGAAAAAAAAUUGUUUUUAGAGUGUUAGAUCGGGGUGAGUAGAGUGAAUUCAAGUGUGAUUAUUUGGAGAGAAAUUAUCUACUCAACGGGGGCUUCAUAACUAGCCACUAAUAUCAUAGAUCUGAGUAUUUUGGAUUCAUCUCAUCUCUUCUUUUGGAGCUGCUUGUAUUUAAUUGGAGGUAAAGGGGUUAGUUUUUUUUUGGGGUUUUUUACUUUGGUUUGGUUGUUAAUACUUAUAUCAAUCUCAUUUGAGGCAUUAUUUUGAGUAUUAAACUUAAAACAUAAAACUUGAUUUAUAAUAAAAAAUGGAAACAGUGUUCACGUUGUUGGAUUUAUAUUGGGUUUGUGUUAAUGAUUACGAUUUUUGUAUAUUUCUGUUAUUUACAUUAAGCUGUUAGCAGUGUAAUUUUAUGUAUGUUGGAUCUUGAAAAUGGGGGUU